UGCAGCCAUGGGCUGUUUUCCCCCGUAGGGCGGAGGGAAGCUCAUCGGUGGGGCCACGAGCUGAGUGCGUUUACGUCACUCUACCCCCUGUCCCUUGGGAAGGUCUGAGACUAGGGCCAUAAAGCGGCCCUAACAGGGCCCUCCCUGACCUUCAGGGAGGUGGGUUCCCAGAGAACGGGGCUCCGCGCGAGGGCAGACUGGGCAGGAGAUGCUGUGGACCCCGCCCUUGGGGAGGGGCCCGGCGGAUGCCUCCUUAGCCGGAGCUUGGAACAGACUCACGGCCAGCGAACCAUAUUUCUUGGUAGCAGGCCUUUAUUUCAAGCCAGCAUUGGACUGUGUGUAAGAGGCAAGGUGAUUAAUCUUGGCUGUGUGGAGACUGGAGGAAGGCAGUGAAAUGCUCUGCCUGGCUUGUUUCCACGUGGGCCUCUGCAGUCCUGGGUCUGCCUUCCUUCCUUGAGAACUGGUGACCCAGAACAACAGAUUCUGCUUCAUAUACAGAGUGCCUGUGUUCCUGAAAAAUGCCUGGAGGUUGAAGAUGGAAUCCACUGAGGAAGGCAGGCCUAGGUCUUCAGCAUCCUGUGUGCCAGUCCAGAAGUGGCACUGUGGAAGCCUCUAUAACAUCUGCGGCAGACCCCCUAAAAAUCAAGGGCCUGGGUCUGAACAUUCUCAGUAGGAAUGGUUAAAGGCUGAUGGGACCAUACAGAAAUGAUGCUAGGUAGCUGAUAGAUCUGUAGUUCAACUUGAUUCCUAGAUAGAAGCUGGAUUCAUCUAAUACCAGAAAAAUGAAAUCUCACGUUACUGAAACUAGAUCUGAGUCUCACUUCUUUCCCAGCCUGGAACUCCUGGGUGCUGUGAGUCCUGGAUAUAUAAUAGAUGGUGACAACAUCUUUCUUUUAUGCAUGAAGGUAGAUGAUUCUUCAAAUUAAAGAUGGAAGCUGACUUCUCACCAGAAAUGGUUUGUAGAAUCAACUUACAAAAAUGUCAGAGGCAGCGAAGGAAAGAGUAAAAUAUUUCUUUCUAUCAGCCUUCGAUUCUUUGCUAGAUUGUAAACUUCAUGAAAGCAGAAUAACUUCCUUAUCCCUAAUGCCUGGCCCAGAAUAGAUACUCAAAAAAUAGUUGAAAUGAAUGGAAAUCUCCCUUGGUUUUUUUUUUUUCUUCCUUUUUUAAUCUCUGGAAAAUGGCAACCAUCGUAAUGGCAUUUCCACAAGACAUUUA
rnacentral:lncRNA from 1 species